rnacentral:rRNA from 1 species
UACGUAGGUGGCAAGCGUUGUCCGGAUUUACUGGGUGUAAAGGGCGUGUAGGCGGGGCUGCAAGUCAGAAGUGAAAUCCAUGGGCUUAACCCAUGAACUGCUUUUGAAACUGUGGCUCUUGAGUAUCGGAGAGGCAGGCGGAAUUCCUAGUGUAGCGGUGAAAUGCGUAGAUAUUAGGAGGAACACCAGUGGCGAAGGCGGCCUGCUGGACGACAACUGACGCUGAGGCGCGAAAGCGUGGGGAGCAAACAGG